GUACUUCUGAAGAGUCUCAAAACUAGAACGAAACAACUGUCCAGUAC
rnacentral:hammerhead_ribozyme from 1 species